UACGGAGGGGCUAGCGUUGUUCGGAAUUACUGGGCGUAAAGCGCACGUAGGCGGCUUUGUAAGUUAGAGGUGAAAGCCCAGGGCUUAACCCUGGAAUUGCCUUUAAGACUGCAUCGCUAGAAUCGUGGAGAGGUGAGUGGAAUUCCGAGUGUAGAGGUGAAAUUCGUAGAUAUUCGGAAGAACACCAGUGGCGAAGGCGAACUCACUGGACCACGUAUUGACGCUGAGGUGGCGAAAAGCGUGGGGAGCAAACAGG
rnacentral:rRNA from 1 species